AGGCUUUAAAACAUCAGCUCUAUUUUCAAGUCAAAGAUAAAUGUGUCUACUGCUUUUCUCUGGGGUCAUCACGUUGCUGCACUCAAGGGGAAACUUCCACCAGGUCUGUCCACUCCAUAUUUUUCAUCCUUCUCCCUAUUCAGCAGGAUGCCUGGCAGGUUACUGGAACUGUGCUGGAUAUCAAAGAUAUAAUUUCUGGGGGCACAAGAAGGUCUUUUUAGUCCUUCUAGAAUAACAUGGAAAGAAAAUUCAACAAGUUAUAUGAUGAAGUGUGAUAACUAUUUUGAUAGAGGAAGUAGAAUGCUGUGGGAAUAGAGAAAAGAAUUUCUAAUCUAGACAAGAAAAAAAAAAAAAACAGAGAAUUCUUCCAAAUGAGCAGAAGAGAGCCAGGGAAGGAAGAAAGGGGCAUGUGCAAUUAGUCAACAAAAUCACAGCCCAUAACCUAACUCUGAUUGGUUCACAAAUCAGCCAACUGCUUCUAUUAACUUCUUCCCCCAGAUAUCCACUUGGUUCACUCCUUAAUUUCACUUGGGUCUUUACUCAGAUGUCACCUUUUUACUGAGGUCUUUCCUCACCACCCUAUUUAAAUUACACUACACCUCCAACACUACCAAUUUCUCUCCCCAACAUUCACCUAACUACAUAUUUUGACUGUUGUUUAUUUUUUGUCUAUUUUCUUUCAUACAAAUAGAUGCUCCCUUAGAACAAUUUUUUUCUGUUAUUUUCACUGCUAUAUCUUAAGCAUCUAAGACAGUAUUUGCAACAUAACAGGCUCUUCGUAAAUACAUUUGGGCAGUCCAUAAAUACUUGCUGCCACUAGCUGAUGAAGGAUCCAAAAUGAAUUUGUGGGACAGGGUAUGCUAAUGUUGAUGAUCUCCACCCAAAUCUUCUGAUAGUUACCAGUCUUGAUUUCAGUAAGCAAGACUUGGCAGCAGGAAAUAAUAAUAAUGUUUAAUGUUUAUUGAGUGAUCGUGGUAUGCUAGACCCUGUUAAUAAUCAAAUACAUCACUUCACAGUUUCCUCAAAAUAACUUUGGGAGGUAGGGACUAUUAUUAUCUUCAUUUUACAGAUAAGGAAAUGGAGACACAGAAUGCUAACCAACUUGCUCAAGGCCUCACACACAGACAUUUAGUCACACCUCUGAUAAGUCAGGAGCCAGGAUUUGAGCCCCAAUAAUGGAUCCAGAAGACUAACAAUCUCCAGAAACGGAACCCAUUCUGUACUCUGACAACACCGGACACUGAUGUGAAAGAUUAAAUCUAUGCUGACAAACCAUUCAUGAAAUGAUCUUUAUGGGGAAGGCAUGACAAGAGUCAAAAGGAAGAGUCUUAAGAGAUGAGUCGCUGAACAUCAUACUAUUAAGAAACAGGACAUCUUUGCUCAAUCAACAUUAGAAACAGAAGCAGUUCGCCAAGUAGCAAGUGAAAGGUGUUAUAAGCAGAUAUAGGGUCUCCCUUUGUCAUCCAGGCUGGAGUGCAGUGGCAAGACCAUAGCUCACUGCAGCCUCAAGCUCCUGUACUCAAGUGAUCCUCCUGCCUCAGCCAAGAAGCUGCGACCACAGAGACAGGCUGGACUGCAGUGGCAUGACCGUAGCUCAUUGUAACCUUGAACUCUUGGCCUCAAGCAAUCCUCCCACCUUGGAUCAUGUGUGAGCCACCCCACCUGGCCUUAGUUUAUAUUCUGUACCCUCUUUCUACCUGUUGAAGAUACCUAAUUCAGCAAGCCUAUUGCUAUUGCUUUUGUGUCAGCCAUGAAAAGAACACAAAUAGAUGGCAGAGACACCACGGUGGAAGAAACAACACACACUGCAGACACACCAACUCAGGAAGGACAGAGUCACUCUCAUUGGCUAAAUGUGUACAGUCCAGUUUGCUGAGCCAGUGCUUAUUGGCUGACUGCCUGUGAUAACAGAGCAUAGGAACAAUAUUGAUCACAGCAUAGUAUAAGAGAUUAUUAAGUAUAAUUUAUUUUAGGGAAAUAUUUCAGAGACAAAUACCAUUCUGAUGAGUCAAGCACAUAAAAUCCAUGAUAAAGAGAAUGUUUUGGAUGGGUAUGGGAGGGAGUUUCAAGGGACCCUGCCUCCUCCUGGAGGGCUGCAGUGUUGCCCUUCCAAGUUAAAACAAAAACUGCCUGGAGAAAUGCAAGGGGUCUUUGUGGGGCUCUGAAGACUUCCUGAAUCUGAAUAAAAAUGUUUCUUUAUUUGGUUAAGAAGACAAGAGUGCACAAAUCCUUGAAUCUGUCAUAGAAGGAGGGUAGUCUGAGUCUGGCGUGGCCUUCGUGUACUGUGCUGAAGAACACAGAAAUUUUUGAGAUAUUAUGCACAAAAGUAGGUUUUGGGUUACCCAAGUGCACUGUUCCUGACACUUGAAAUUGUACAUGGAGGUAGCUUAGGUGUUGCCCAAAUCAUGCAGGAAGCUUGAAGAAGAUACCUUACUCUCUUAUGCAAUGCCAAAUAUCAGACACGCACAUCUCCAAAUUUAAUAUAAAGUGCUGAGCUCUGAUAUUGAUAUAAAAUAUUAAACAUAUUUAUAAAGGUCACUUGCUGUUGGAAGUAACUGCUUGAGGAGAGGCUAAGGCUCAAGACACUUCAUGUGGGAGUGGCCAUGUACUUCAGCCAUUCUCCAUCCAAUCCACC
rnacentral:lncRNA from 1 species